rnacentral:rRNA from 1 species
UACAGAGGUCUCAAGCGUUGUUCGGAUUCAUUGGGCGUAAAGGGUGCGUAGGCGGUGCGGUAUGUCGGGAGUGAAAUCUCUGGGCUUAACUCAGAGGCUGCUUCCGAAACUGCCGUGCUCGAGUGCGGGAGAGGCGAGUGGAAUUACAGGUGUAGCGGUGAAAUGCGUAGAUAUCUGUAGGAACACCCGUGGCGAAGGCGGCUCGCUGGACCGCAACUGACGCUGAGGAACGAAAGCUAGGGGAGCAAACAGG